UGUUUUUUUUAUCUUCUUACAUCCAUAGGGAAAUGUCGGUAAAGAGGGCCCUCCUGGACCACCGGGUGAAAUUAUACUCGAUGGUACAAACAACACGUUAGUGAAGGGUCAAAAGGGAGAUAAAGGUUCUUCGAUAGAUCUCGAUUCAAUAAAAGGAUUGAAGGGUACCAAGGUAAGAACUUUCGAUAAUGGAUUUUU